CGCCCCACGCAUCCCUUCGUCCUCAAUUAAGAGGAUUAUUAUCCCGUAAUUUUCUCUCUGCCCAGUGCCCACAAAGCUUUGCCGCUCCUCCUCUGCUAUCCUAAUCCCGUAAUUUUCUCACAGAUGCGAGCGCGGAUAGCUGCCGCCGCCCACCGCUCCUCUACUUCCCAUGGGCCCGAGCAAACGUAGCCAACCACCCGAGGCAACGGAGCGGCGAGUGGCGGAGGAAGGGAGAGAAAGACGGGGGAAUGGGGUGAUGGCGUCGGCAGUGGCGGGGGUGGAGACGAUGCGGGCGGCGCACAUCCCAAUCAGGCAUGAGUAGUCCCGGCGCAAGGCAUCCUGGAAGGACCCCGAGGGCGGGUCAUUUCCGCCACUACGCGUGCCGAUUCUGCCCCGCGUCUUGGCGAGCUCCACGACCAGAUCCUCGCCGUCUGCGCCUCCUUCGCCGACCUUGCCGCGCAGCACUCCGCGGACUCCACCAAAGGGCCGACCAUGCAAUAGCAGAUUCAGGAUUGGUUGGCGAUGGUUAAGAUCAACCCGUGUGGUCAGCAGUAUUGGUACGACUCCUUUCCUUUGGGUGGUUAAUUCCAUGGCCACGUUGUUAACCAGUAGAAAGAUACAUUCGAAAAAAUGAACUGGAUAGAAAUAUGUUCUUGUGGAAGUCACGGGCAUGAAAGUUUUGUUUCACUCAUUCUCUUAUAUUUGUAGGCCUAUUUAUGAAUCAAUUUAUACUGUAGGCCUAGAUCCAUCUUACUUCAUAACAAAUAUUAUUGAUUGGUCGGUGGGAUAUGAUUUUGUGAAAUUACUUCCAUACGAACAGUGAGAAAUAUCUUAAUUCUCGCUUAUACUGCUCUCGACUCCCAUUGGAUUGCAGUAUAUAUCAUUUUUGUUAUAUUACACGAACCCCUUUUAUUUGUUAAAGUUGGGUAAAUCCAUUGUUAGAGUCCUCAUACGCCACUAUAUAUUGUAUUGAAUUAGUUCGAUGGAAAUGAUAAUGUGAUAUUACAACUCAUAUUUGGGAAAAGGCGAGCGAGUGUGGCAUGAUGUAUAUCUCAGAGUUAACACGAUUUGCUGAUUAACCAAGUCAUGAUUUUUUAGUUUUAUUCCACCACCGAAACAAUAACAUAUCUGCCUACACUUGGUGCUUCAGUUACCCGAUUUAAGUUGUAGUUAUUUUAAGAUGUUAUUUAGGUGGGUGUACCAUGUACCAUAUACAAUAUUUUUCAGCUAGGUUGGUAGUUGGUCUUUCUGUCCUGUGAGCUUAUUGAUUCAUCUGAUUAACAGAUGUUGGGUGGUGUUUUUUGGUCAGACAAGGUGGAGUUCAUGCUUGUAAUUGUAUACUGUAUGGUUCUGUUCAUAUGUUUUGCUCUAAUAGAUUGAUGAAAAUACAUGUCAAGCUAUUUUAUCACAAGAUUCCUACAUCGAUAAUUCAAAUGGACCUAACAUAUUGGGAACCUUUUCAUGGACUAUCCUCAUAAUGGAUGUCAAAUUCUUGCAUUCAGAGGCUACUGAGACCAUGGGCAAGAAGGAAUCAACAUUGGUACCAAUGCUGAAAUAUUUUUUGCAAGUCUCAAGCAUGGUUUCUUUCUGAUUGUGAGGAUGAAUUUUACAAAGAGGAUGUUUGAGAAGGUAAUCACAUAACUAUACAUGUUUUCUAAGCAUCUAAGAGGAUUACGUGUUCAGUUUCGUGCUGCAAUUUUAGAGCUUGAUUCUAGAAGUAAGGGUGCCCUCCUUUGAUAUACCUGGUUUGUGAAGAGGUGAUCGUGUGGCUGAAGAAUGAUGUUAAUGGUUGGAAGUGUUCCAACCAGGAAGCAUUCGGGUUGUGCCUGCGUUGGACACAGUGUUUUUUACGGUGAGACCAUUCAUGUGGAACUUUUCGGGGAGCAGAGUAAGAGCGAGCAAAACUAUGGGUUGAAUUUGUUGUGCUAAAGGGACCGACAUAAUGCAUUGUUGAGUUCUGAAUUCAUCAAGUUUGUGUCAGCUGUGCUGGAAGGUCAGUGUGCAGAAUUUGUGAAGUGUUAUAUACACAAACCAGUACAUUCUUCUUUCGGAAGGAGCUGUUUGCUUUGCUGGUGCUAAGGCACUUUGGAAUAGCUGGGUGCCAUUGAACUGCAAUUCAUUUGCUUGGCUUCGCAACAUCGAGUAUGGACAUCGGAUCGUCGGGUCAGAAGAGAGCUGCAGGUACAUAUUUGGCCAUGUUUUCUCUGAGCAGGAAGAGGACAUUGCGACCUCAUCCCGCUUCAGUGCGUAUAUACUCGACAGGUAUGGUAUCGAUGUCUUCGAUCGACUCAUCUUGAUGUUGUCCCUGCCCCUUCUGUCAUCGAUAAUAUUCCGGAUUGGUGGGGAGGUCUCGCCAGUUCAUUUCCAAAGCUAAAUAAUGUGGUUUUGAUUCUCUUGUGAUGCUUGUGUGCUAUAGCCUAUGAAAGCAACACAAUGCUAGGGCGUUCAACAAUGCUCAGCUUCAAGUCAACGAGGCAACACUCUGUGUUCUCAUUCUUUGUGACCUAAUUGCGUGAGGGAAUAGGAUGGCUGGAUUAUGUGAGUAGUCAUUGUGAUAUGUGUUGGUGGUGGAGCGUGGAUGUCGUCCCCCUUUGGGGUGCUCUUGUAACUUGUGUUCUCUUCUACAAAAUUAUGGUACAAAUUUGCAUACUCUCCAUAAAAAUAUACACAAACCAAAGAGAAAUUAUAUCACUGCCCUUACACAAUUUAUUGCAGGUAGGUGGAACGAACUUCUUAAAUCAUUCCUGCAUAUAAGCAAUUCACUAUAUUCUAUUCAUUUCACUUGAUACACCAUUUCAUAAUUUAUGUUCAAUUUUUUUAGUUCAAGAAAUUGUUUGGAUGAACUACGCUAUGGAAAAUGUGGUAUUUUUUACUAUUCAAGUAUAAUUAGUUUUUUUAUGUUUAUAGAGAGACGUCCAUGAUUACUAGGUAUUGGUACACAUGCUGACAUCACUUCCAGGGUUCAGUUUAGCAAGAAGACCAAUUACACCUACAAUGUCCAUUCCUGCAGCACCUUGGCUUGGCAAACAAGAAGACUCAAUGCAGCCAGCUGCUGAGUAGGAGAUGACUAUUGACCUCUCGACAACCAAGACAAAGAGACGCACAACAAGCCAAGAACAGGAAGAUGAAGUAAGUGCUAAGCUUAUUUUGUGUGUGAGUUGGUAUAUCGUUUCCAUCAUUCUAGAUUUGUUGUAAGAGUAUGGAGUUGAAUACGAUGAAUGAUGUGCUCACCGGACAAGCACACGUUUUGUCUAUAUACCAUGACUAGGUUUUCAAAAUAGAUUGAGACACCCCCUACUUUUCUUUAGAGACGAAGUUGUAUGCCAUUUAUGCCAGUAGUAGAUAUAUUUAUCAAA